rnacentral:rRNA from 1 species
GACGUAGGGCGCGAGCGUUGUCCGGAUUUAUUGGGCGUAAAGAGCUCGUAGGCGGCUUGUCGCGUCGAAUGUGAAAUUUCAGGGCUCAACUCUGACAUUGCAUUCGAUACGGGCAGGCUCGAGUUCGGUAGGGGAGACUGGAAUUCCUGGUGUAGCGGUGAAAUGCGCAGAUAUCAGGAGGAACACCGGUGGCGAAGGCGGGGCUCUGGGCCGAUACUGACGCUGAGGAGCGAAAGCGUGGGGAGCGAACAGG